rnacentral:lncRNA from 1 species
GCCUAUGAUCUACAGUGCCCAUUCCAACUCAGAGAAUCUUUACAUCUGGAGAUCUAUAGCAGGGCUAUCCCUAGUGACAUGCGUGAAGAAGCUUGGAAAUGGUGCUGGGUAGGAGCUGAGUGUGCAGAAUGUGGAAAGGCAUUCUAAACCAAAGGAAGAACACGAGUAAAGAUGAUGAAGCAGGGAUAAGGCUAAAAUGAAAUUUGUGAUCUGAUCCACAUACAAGCACAGUGUAGUACAGCUGGAAUAUAGAGAAGAGCUUGAAGACUUAUGAGCAACUAUCCCGGUACUCUUGGAGGCUCUGCAACCACAGUUUGAGAAACUCCGCGUUCAAAGUUAAAAACUGUCACCUGAAUAGUUAAUAACAUCAAAGAUUGUGAAAGCAAGUAUAAAUAACACAGAGAUUAAAAUAAUGAGGCAGGAUCAGAAAAAAACAAGAAGGAAGAUCUCCCAUAGAUUUUCAAGGUGCUGAGAAAACAGCUUCUAGACAUAUCUCGAAAGCCAAGUUUCUGAGAUGUAAUCAGAAAGCUGUAGUGGAAGGAAAUUUGAACCAGAAGACUGCAGUCCUGUCUAUGAACGUUAAACCUGUGUGGCUUAGGAAACGAGUCUAACCUCUCUGAGCCUCAGUUUGUUCACCUAAAAGAUGGAGAUGAGAGCUCAUUUGUCUCAUUCUCAGGGGUUAUGGUGGCCAUCCAGACAUAAAGAAAUUAGAACGUUCAUUCAUCUGCAGAUGCUCACACAUUCCUAC